rnacentral:lncRNA from 10 species
AUCCCACUCAAGGAAGCUCCUUGAAGAUGUUUACCAAUCACCUGCCAUCUGCCAGGCACCUGGGAUACAUCAGCAGCAAAGAGAAAAAAACUCACCCUCUGGGACCUGAUAUCCCGGGCAUGAUGUGUGAAGAGCUGCGGUGGCCCCUGAAGGAACCUGGCCUAUGCAUCCCCGUGGUUGCAUCUUCCCAUCGAUGUGUUUCUAAUAUUAGUUGCAAUAACCACAGCGAUCAUUCAUAGGGAACCUACUGUAUUAGUCAGGAUCAUUUCGGUUUUAAGUCACAGAA